GCCGAAGUGGCGGAAUAGGCAGACGCGCUACGUUCAGGGCGUAGUGGGCAUUUUGCUCGUGUGGGUUCGACUCCCACCUUCGGCACCA
rnacentral:tRNA from 1 species